ACGCUGGCGGCGUGCUUAACACAUGCAAGUCGAACGAGAACGGGAUUGCUUGCAAUCCUUAGUAGAGUGGCGCACGGGUGAGUAACACGUAGAUAAUCUACCUCCAAGCCUGGGAUAACUAUUCGAAAGGAUAGCUAAUACCGGAUGAAGUAUGUUGGCAUAAGUUGACAUAUGAAAGGUUGCCUCUUCUUGAAAGCAAAUGUUUGGAGAUGAGUCUGCGGACCAUUAGUUUGUUGGUGGGGUAAAGGCCCACCAAGACUACGAUGGUUAGCUGGUCUGAGAGGAUGAUCAGCCACACUGGAACUGACACACGGUCCAGACUCCUACGGGAGGCAGCAGUGAGGAAUUUUGCGCAAUGGGGGAAACCCUGACGCAGCAACGCCGCGUGAGUGAAGAAGGCCCUUGGGUCGUAAAGCUCUGUCGACAGGGAAGAAAUUACUUCAUAUUAAUAGUAUGUUGUAUUGACGGUACCUGUAGAGGAAGCACCGGCUAACUCCGUGCCAGCAGCCGCGGUAAUACGGGGGGUGCAAGCGUUAUUCGGAAUUAUUGGGCGUAAAGGGCGCGUAGGCGGUCUUGUCGGUCAGAUGUGAAAGCCCGGGGCUCAACCCUGGAAGUGCAUUUGAAACGGCAAGACUUGAAUACUGGAGAGGAGAGCGGAAUUCCUGGUGUAGAGGUGAAAUUCGUAGAUAUCAGGAGGAACACCGAUGGCGAAGGCAGCUCUCUGGACAGAUAUUGACGCUGAGGCGCGAAGGUGUGGGUAGCAAACGGGA
rnacentral:rRNA from 1 species